rnacentral:rRNA from 1 species
CGAUGAAGAACGCAGCGAAAUGCGAUACGUAGUGUGAAUUGCAGAAUUCCGCGAAUCAUCGAGUCUUUGAACGCAAGUUGCGCCCGAGGCUUGUCCGAGGGCAUUUCCGCUAGAGCGUCACCGCGCCCCCCACCGAUCCACUCUCGCCGCGAGGCGCCAGUCGGGUCGAGUGCAAGUGGCCGUCCCGGUGAAGCGGCCUCCUUUCGCGAGGAGGCCAUACUUAGAAGGGUCGGCUGAAAUGGAUGGAAUCGGGCCGCCGUGGUGACACAGUCCGCGAUCGGGUGAUUUUGUCGCGAGCCUCCUGCGGGAGGUUCGUGGUGAAUUUUUCUAAGUGCUUGGCUGCGUCCCCCAGUUGGCUCGGGUUACCUCAUGCAGGUCGAGCGCGCCCCCGCGGCGCGCGUCACGCAUCAGACCUCUAAUCGGAAAAGACUACCCGCUGAGUUUAAGCAUAUCAAUAAGCG